rnacentral:lncRNA from 10 species
GCUGCAAAUAGAAUCACCCAAGGGGCUUCUGUAGCUUACCAGUUCCUGCACUGCACUACCAGCAAUUUGCCUGGGGUGGGACUUUCCCACGUUAUUCUAAUAACCAGCCAGGACUGAGAAUCAUUGAUGUAGUGAAAACAAUUCAUGUUUUGGAGUCAGACAAAUGAGACUUUGAACUAGCUGCGUGUCCUUGAGCUUCAGAGAUUUUUUUUUUUUGUCUGUAAAAAUGAGGUUAAUCAAAGCUGCAUGAUGUGAGUGCCUGUGGGCCUGAGAAUCUGGAAGACUGCAGGGGUCUGGUGGUUUAAGCCAAAGUGAAUUCUUCUCUGAGCACUGAUAGGAUUGCCCAUAAGAAGAAAUCAUCUCUUCAGCCUUCUCAUCCUCCACAGGAACAGAAGGACACGUCCCAAGUGGCGAGCUGUGCAAGGCCACAGACACAGAGCACAGAGGAAAGGCCAGGUGAGGACCCAAUGAGAAGGCUGCUGUCUGCAAGCCAGGAAGAGAGGUCUCACCAGAAACUCAUCCUGCUGGUGCUUUGAUCUGGGACUUACAGUCUGCAUACUAUGAUACAAUAAAUUCCUGUUAAGACGCUCAAUCUAUGGCUUCCUGUUACGACAGCCUGAGCAGAUUGAGACAGCAUCCCCAGAAAGGAUCUAGCUGGAGCAUUGAGCUCCUCUGCUCUCCUAUCCCUUCCAAAUCUCAUAUUCUUACCCUUUCUUACCCUGUCUCGUCGGCCAGAAAAUGUGUUGCAAUUUGGUUGUAAGAAUAAAGAUGAAGUCUAACAAUAGAUUUAGAAAAAAUAGUUACGUUCAUAAGAGAUUCAUAGCUGUAAUAUACAAAGAGCUCUUAAAAAUUAAUAAAAAGAUAACCGAACAAAACAACAGGCAAAUAUGAAUAAGCAGCUCACAGAGGAGCAAAUCUAAAUGGCCAAUAAACACAUUAAGAAAUGCUCAAGCUCACUGGAAAAUACAAAUUAAAGCAGCAUUGAGUUACCACUUUCUAC